UUUGCUUUAUAGUACUCUUUAACAUACUUCCGAGAAUCUCUUUCAUUCUCUCGUUAUUUAAUAUUUAUACAUUUUUUUUAAUAUGUAUGAAAUUGUCAAAUUCAUCACUCAUUGUGGUACUACGGGAGUAAUAUGGAAAUGAAAUGAUCUUUAUUAUUAUAGAUACAAAUUACAAAGGAAAUUAUACCCUUUACAAUUACAGAACGGUGCUACAAGCCUACAACUGUAGAAAGUCCAAAUUCAAUACAAAGUCUACCCCUUUGUUAUGUUGAAGUAGAUACACUGAUUCAAAUUUGAGAUAUGUUACAAGCUACUUAGAUCCCAAAUCAUAAAUGACUGUAUUUUCUCACUUCUAUAAAGUAACUAAACAAGCUUUAUUAGACAAACAAACAUUUAAACUUCUUUUUUGAAGGAUCAAACGUUUAAACUUUGAUCAUACUAAACAGAUAUAGAUAGAAAGAAAGAAAGAAAAAAGUAGAAACUGUAAUUGUUUUUUUGUGAGAGACUCUUUAGUCAUCAUUAUGCUGAAUUGGGUGCAACUCCUGGGUGCACCUUAUUCUUACCAAUAGUACUAGAAUUUGAACUUGCCUGCACCUUUCUAUUUUGAUUAUCACCACUUACCUCUCCCUUUCUUACUCUUUCCUCUUCCAUUAUUUUCAUCUUUUCCUUCAGCCUCUUCUGCAUAACAAAAAUUUCAGCUGAACGUGCACCAAUUGAAGACAUGUUAUAUUAAUUAUUUGACUAAUACUAGUACUUAAUUAUUAUAAUAAUAUAUAAUUAAACUGAAUUGAACUAGUUAUGAAAUGUGAUCUGCCAAACUAGUGUUCCCAAAGAUGGAAUUUAUAGGAGUUGGAAUUGGAGGUAUGUAUGGUAGAUAGUGAUCAGUAUGUGGAACAAGCAGUCACGUUAAUUAAUGUUGUUAUGGUUUGUGGUUUUGCUUUACAACCAUGCAUAGGUGUUUAUUUAAUUAAUUGAACAAAAAAUAGAAUGUCCUGUUGUCAUAGUGCCAUGUAUUAUGGAAAUUAAAAUUUGGUCUGUGCGUGCAGCAUCAUGUGUUCUAACCGUUAACUAAAUAUAUGUUACAGUUUGUAUUAUACACAAACACAUAUACACCACACAAAUAUAUACAUUAAUAUGGUGGUCGGUUUAGAGCAUAGAGGAAGUGGUUGUUAAUACAAUUAUAAAAUGACUGAAGUGGGCUUCAUCAUGGUUAAUUAAAGGUGCUAAUUGCUAUCCCAACAUUAUAGAAAUCAUUAAUUAAUAUUAUUGAUGCUAAGAUGACAAGUCAGCUUUGAUCCACUGGGUGGAAGAAGUGUUUUCUUGUGAUUAGAUUUUUUAUUUUAUUUUUAUAUAUCGAUAAUGUUAUUCUUAUGAUGACUAUUUAGCUUUGAAAAAUGAGGGCAUUUUAUUUUAUGUUUUAAUUUUUAAUUUUUUUAUACUUUGUAAACUUUUUUUUUUACUAUUUAAGUUAAGAGUAGAAGUGAUAUUCAAAUCCAUUUACAAGAAACAUAACAAAAAAAUUCCACAAAACCAUAAACUAGAACCUAUUAGUUGUUAAAGAGUCUCACAUUAAAUAAACUAGGACUUGAUCAUGAAUUUAUAAAUGAGUGUAAUCCCCAUCUUGUAAAUCGAUUUUCAAAAGAUGAAUUUCACCCAAUAUAAAAAUCUAAUAAGAUUACAGAGCCUGUCUAAGAUAUGUUAGAUUACAUGCUAAGAUCAUCGCUUUUAGGUCACAUAUGAUAUGUCCAGUCACGAGCGUGAAAGAUAUGUGUUAAAAAAUCCCAUAUUAAAUAAAGAGAGGGUAUGGACAUGAGUUUAUAAAUGAACGCAAUAUCCUCAUCUUAUAAGCCAAAUUUGUAAGAAUGAAUUAAGCCAAAGGAAAUGGUAACUUUUGUCGUCCUAAAGAUAUAUACAUGCUAAGAAUUUAAGUGUAACUCAAUAAAAUCCUUUACAAUCCUAAAAUAAAAUGACAAUGAAAUGUUUUGAAAAUGCUCGUGUGUUUAACUUGUUCCUCAAAUCAAUAGACCUGGUAGACUUAUCCUUGAUGGAGAGGAAAUUUACAUGGUCCAACCAAAUAGGAAGUAUAUCAGUUGCUUGGAUAGGUUGAUGAUCUCACAACAAUGAUAAGUGAAAUGGGGAGAUUUGAGUAUGUGGGCACUAUGUAUAUAUAUUUUAGAUAGUUGCCCAAUCACUCUAAGGUAUGUCGAUUUUGAUUAGGAUAGAGAAACACACAAGAGAAGAGUUUGGCCGAUCCACCAAUUAUGAAUGACACUAAAAAAAUGGUCCCUUAAAUAAUACUUCAUAAUUUUUUUUUAUCCUGAUAAACGUUGAAUAUGACAGUUGAAUUCUCAACUAUGUUGGCACCCAAUUUACCGUAAUAAAAUGUUUUGAAAUCCCAACUAUAUGCUGACAUCCAAAACGUUAGGGUUGAUAGUGAUUUUCACCCCUGUAAUAUAUGUUAUUUUCGGUUUUUGACUUUAUAAAAUUUUUCGGUUUGAUUUGCACCCUCGUAAAAUUUUUAUUUUCCGGAAAACACCCCUAAUAGGCCAUUUUCAGAAUUAUUUUUCAAGAAAUUUUGGUUUUUGAAUGGCCUAUUAAGGGUGUUUUCCGAAAAAUAAAAAUUUUACGAGGGUGCAAAUCAAACCGAAAAUUUUAUAGGGACGACAACCAGAAAUGACAUAUAUAUAUUACAGGGGUGAAAAACACUAUUAACCCCUAAUAAGUAAACCAUUUGCAAAAAAAAUAUUGUCUCAAAAAAAUGGACUCAUAUUACUUUUCAAUACAACAUUAAUUACUUUUUUCCGAUAAUAUAUCUAAUUAAUACUACUUUCAUCAUUCUCAAUUCAAUAUAUUUUUGUGAUAAUACACUCAAAACCAUCUCUCUCUCUCUCUCUCUCUCUCUCUCUCUCUCUCUCUCUCUCACUCUCGUAAUAUGAACAAUGAAAAGAACAAAAGACUCACUUCUACUGGGACUGAAGGACUAUUAAUAAAAAGUUAUGAACAAAAUACUCACUUAUAAUGGGACAAGAGAAUUAUUAAUAAAAAAGAAUAACAAAACAAAAAAAGUUUGCGGCCAAACCAAACCCAACAAAGUUAUGUAAACGAUAUGUAAGCUUAUCAAACAUAUCUAAAAAACUAGGAUAUCUAAAAAAAACCUUUAUAAAGAAAAACAUAUCUAAAAAACCAGCCCUUAUAAAACUACGAUAUAUAGAUCACCAUUGAGAAUUUACAAUUGUUUUACAAAAUAUCAACAACAAAGAAGCUUCACUUUUAUCGGGAAGUCAUGAGAUUGUGGUUUCUUCAAAUAUUUUAAGAUGCAAAAUCACUUCAAAUGUCUUCGAUUCCUCAAAUCUAUUUUUCAGAAAAGUAAUUUUCAUAUAAACAACAAUAAAAAAUAGUUGAUUCUUAUGAAUUCUUGAUCAAAUAAUAAAAUAUGUUCAAUUUUUGACAAUUUGUAUUACGUCUCUUUAAAUUGUCAUUUUAAUAUUUUAUGUCACUGUUUUGAAAAAACUAGUUAAUCACAAUUCAAAUUAUAAAAUACAAAAUACAACAAAUAAGUUUCGAAUUAUAAAAUUUAAACAGAAAAAAUGAUCAAUUUGAAGGCGAUUGAGAAGUGAUUAGGGUGAGAAAUAAAAUUAAAAAAAAAAAAAAAUGACGGUCAGGUGAACUUAAGUAUGUUAGGGUUUAGAGCUUUUAAAGUAGUUUUGCAAAAAAAAAAAGAAAAAGAGUUGCGGGCCUUAAGUUUGUUGGGCCCUUUUAUACGUUUUAUUAUAUACAACAUCAUAAAAUGAAGCUUUGCUAUUUACACCUAUUCUACAAUUUUUUUUUGCCCUCUACUAGACUGGACCCAAGGCCGUCGCACCCCUGGCCUUCGCCUAGGGCCGGCCAUGUACAUGAAUGAUGAGCAUUGUUGAUCGAUUCCUCGCCCCUUGGAUGCCUCUGAUCGUUGAUAUCCUUCAUAAAUUGAGAUUUUGCCUUCUUCUCCUCGACAUAACGUGUUUUUCAAGUGAGGCAAAAACUCUAUAUUUAUAAGCGAUAAAUUCUCUAAUUUUCUGAAAUAGUUAAUAUGCGAUGUACACAACCUUCUACACGUCUUGUCAUGGACAAUAGCUGACGACUUCGUUUUUCCUUCUGAUGGCGUGACGCGUGGCUCAUAGACACAUUACACUUCUUAAUUAUAAUAGUUAAAUUUCUUCAUCCUCUGUCCCAUUUCGCCUCACCAAAACAUCCGCAGUGACCAUACCCCAAAAAAUCAUUGUGAUUGUUUUUCAUUUUAUUCUCCCAUGCGUAUGUGUCGGUUUAUUUAUGAAAAUUCAACUAAAACCAUAGAUACUAUGCCAAAGGACUCUAAAAUAAAUCCUAAAUUAUGUUAAAAUUACUAAAUGACUGAUUGUCAUCCCUUGCAAAAGUUGGCAUGUUUUAUGAAUAUUGUUUGCACCUUAAGAUGUGCAAAGUUGAUGAUGUGAUAGAAAAAGAGAGAUGUAGAAAAAAAAAUGUUGAAUGAAUGUAUGAAACUUAAGGAUAUCCAAAUAUAAUUGUUGAUAUUUUAUAGGUUGGAAGUGAAUGAAAACUUUGAAGUUACAAGAAAAAUGUUUAGUUACUAGCUGCAACAAAUUCUUGCAAUGCUUUAUUGCAUAAUAUAUAUAUAUAUAUAUAUAUAUAUAUAUAUAUAUAUAUAUAUAUAUAUAUGAGAAUCUAAUCCAUGUAAUUAAUCUUCAUGCUAUAUGAAGUCUCAUGGAAGAUCGCAUACAUUAAUGUCCCUGGGUGAUUCAAUUUUUCAUAUUGUUCAAAAUAAUCCCUUCCCAGUUUACCCUUGGAGACCUCAACGACCUCUUUCCCUUUUUCAUAUUGUUUAGAAUACCUUCUCAGUUCACCCUUGGAGACCUAAAUGACCUCUUUCCCUUUCUUAUUGGCGCCACAUUCAAAUUCAAAAGCUCCUCUUUAUUUUUAGUUGCAACACUUGAUCUCAAGAUACACAUAAAAGCCAAAAAACCAUCUUUACUAAAUUUCCAAAGUUUGAAAUCAGGGUCAUGAUAAAAAACAUGAAGGGGCUCUUCAUUCACCACAUGACCAUGACCUUGCAACCAAGCAAUUUCAGCACAAUCAACGAAAAAACUAAAUGCACGCACAGAAGCAUAUGCAAUACCUUGAUCAUCAUCAUGAGCAUUAUUAGAUGGAUGAAUGAAUUUGACAAAGGUAUUUGCCAAUGUAUCGAUUAUCAUGCCCUCUAUAAUCUGUUUGGUAGAUUUUGACAUGCGAGUAGCCCUUAUGCGACAUGCAUUUAGGUCUGGUAACAUAAAACGAGACCUCCCUGGUAAAUGGCCUAGUCUCUUUAGGGUUUCAUGUGUCAAUGCUUCAAUAUUUGGACGCACCUUGUUCAUAUGUUUGGUUCAUUAUCCUCUACUAAGUACCCUGUAACCAAUCAUAUAACAAGUUAGCUAUAAUGAUACAUGUAUAUUAAAUAAUAAUCAGGGAUUGAUGAAAAUUACAUAAGAUAAAAUAUAAACAAACCUAAUCGUUUUCUAAAUAGUGGAAAUAUACAUGCUCUUUUUUGUGGGGGGUAUAUAUAAGCUCUUUUUUAUCAUGAAGAAAGUACUUUACCUGGUUAUUAUUACUAAUAUCCUUAUAAUGAGAAAAUUGGAUAACUCCUCAACAAAGGUAUUUAUGAGUUCUAGUUGGCAAUUCGUAGGAAAUAAUUGAAGGCCGUAUAAAAGACCAGGGCAAAGACAAAAGCACAUUUGGAGAUUCGAACAACAAGAGUGUCUCUUGCAAGAGGCCACACAAAUCCUUCAACACAACAAAAAGUUGUAUGUAGGAGACAAUUAAGGUGUAAUGCAAGGUUUACCGAAAAACGCCCAAAAUUCAACAAUGUUGAUGUUUGUCCAACAUUAUAGUCCAUUAAGAUUAAUGCACAUGUCUGGCAAGCCAAAAGAGUAGUUAUGCAUCCAUUUCGAAUUUGUUGUAUAUUUCCUUGUAAUGUUGACAUGGUUUGUACACUGCAAAAUAUGAUCUAUACGAAGAAAUUUUGAAACAAAAUUAGAGGAGAAAAAAAAAUAUAACAUAUAAAAUUAAAUCAAAUUAAAACAAUUAUAAAAAUUUGAGAUUAGACUCAAUAUUAUGUACUAUGGAAAAUAUUUGCUACAAUUAUUUUUAAAGGAGAUGUUAUGUUGAUGUAAAUCAAUCAAUGAGAAUCUACUACAAUUUGAGAUUAUUUAUGUCGUCGUGAUCGCAUAAAGAUUGUGAUAAAUAUUGCAUCUAUCACUUUUGAUGAUGAUUACCCACAAUUCAAGAAUUUUGAUCUUUAAAACUGUGACCACUAUUUAAAAUAUAUUUUUGAUCAACAAUCAAUAUGGAGAUGAGCAAACACCCAUACACACAAAUGAAAUAAAAGAUGAAUCUUUAAGCAUCGAUAAAAGUAAAAUGACAUAAAUUGUAAGGAUUAAAUGAGCAUAUACCUCGUCUCAGUCUCUAAAGAAGUAUAGGGCAAAGAGCAAGAAAGAGCGUAUAUGAUAUAUAAAGAGGGUUAUGUGUUCAUGGACAUGACUGUUUAAUUGUGAACGAGUGAUAUAAAGAUGUGCAUUGUACAAUAACCGUUGAUAAUGAGCUGGCAAUGACUCAAUGCAUAAUUUUUUGCGCGUAUUAUUAAUUUAAUAAUAAAAAAAAUCCAUUAUUUAAAUAAGAAUAUUAGUAUAUGAAAAUAAUAGGUAAUUAUUCAAUAAAAAUAUUCAUACAGAAAAAUAUUUAUGAAUUUAAUUUUUCUCUUGAAGGAAUGAAUUUAAUAUUUUUACUCAUAUAGAUUUCAUAUAAAUAUUCUAUGUUUUUAUAUGUAAAAAAUACAUGUUGGUUUUUGUAUACAACUUUACCGGUAAUUAAUCUCUGCGGGAGAACUUAGUUGACAACAUUUUUGUAGGGUCUCCCCGUUCAACCAUAAUUUUUUCAAUCACAAAAUUCAAAUUUGAGACUUUAUCUUUAGAGAGUCCAGUACUACAUAAACCAAUUAUGUGUUGAAUGACUAAGUGUUAGAAAAAAUAUCAUUAUUUUCAAGAAAACAUAUCCUUAAUCAAGGUUUUAAUUAUAGAUAAUUUUAGUCAAUACGAUUAUGAUAAAUGUUGCAUAUACCACUUUCGAUAGUGAAUAUCCAUAAUUUUUCAAGGAUUGCAAUCUUUAAAACUUUUACCGAUAUUUAAAAUGAUGUCCUUGAUCAACAAUCAAUAUGAAGUUUAGCAAACAUACACAUACACACAAAUAAAAUAGAAGACAGAGCUUUAAAUAUUGACAAAAGUAAAUUGACUGAAAUUGUAAGCAUCGGACGAGCAAGAAAAUACAAACAAUAUAUAAAAAUGUUUCAGUCUUUAAAGAAAUACUUACAUAUGAGCAAGUAAAAGUAAAGGGUGGAGUGAGGAAAUUAGCAAAAGUAUAUAGAUUAUAUUAUAUAAAGGGGUCAUAAGACUCUUUAAUUGAGAGUGAAUGGGUCAUAUAAUAAGGAUGCAACUCUUAAUAAUAUUUUUUAUUUUUUGGCAAAAAGGGUGGUAGCAAAGGAGCUAACCAAGCCAAAAAAUAAUAUGUUGACAUUAGUGAGUGCAAAACUUUGUGUGGUACUAAAUUAAUAUAAAAAAAUUCAAAAUUAAUAGUUUAAAUAAUUAAAUUAGUAUAUAAGAAUUAUAAGUAAUUAUUUAAUAAAAAUAUUCAUAAAGUAAAAUAUUUAUGAAUUUAAUUUUAUACCUCAUGUGAAUUGCAAAUAAUAUAUUCUCUAUUUUUAUAUCUCAAAAAUAUGCGUUGAUUUAUUUAUACAACUAUGCUAACAAUUAAUCAUCGUUGGAGAACCUAACUAACAAUUUUUUUGUGGGAUUUCCGCUCUCAACCAUAAUUUCCAUUGACAACAUUCAAUUUCAAGACCUUAUUUUUAAGAGAUUUGAGUCCAAAUCUUUUCAGACCAAUAUGUUGUUCGUAAAAUAUGUGUUGAAUGACGUUGAAAUUAAUGAUCUCAUUUAAAUUUUUAUUUAUAAUUCUCUCCUUUUUUUUUAAUAAAAAAAUUAAUUUUCCAUACUUGUAUAUAAGAUGACACCAACUUCAGGCACAUCCUAUUUCUUCUACAAGUUCUAGCCUUUUAUACUAAUUUAUGAACAAUUUUGUCAUCAUUCAUCUAAUUUGGUAUUUUCAUUUUUAUAGGGGAUACAAACUUGGGAAAUUCUAUGGUGAAGUCAUUAAAUUGACUUUUUCAGAGCAGUUAUCCUACAUCCAAUAAUAAUGCGCCACAUUGUUGAAUGAUGUCAUGUGUGUUGACUGUUGUAUGGUAUAUACCGUGUAUCUGCUCAAUAUGUACCACCGUAGACUAACUUUUUUGAACUAUCAGAUUAAGCAAUUCACUAGUGUUAUUGUGUUCAUAAUCUCCUUUUUGAUUUUUUCUUCCUUCUAUUUCAAAAAAUAUUUAAAUAAACCUUUUUAUGAUAAUCCUUUUUAUAAAAAAAUAUUUCAUUAUUAAAAAUAAAUAAACCAAGGAAGAUUAUGAACAUCAUCACCAUCUUCAUACCUUCAUCAUUUUCUUUAUUGAACAAAAAACAAAAUAACUACUCAAAUACAUCUCCAAAUAACAUGAAUCUCAAUAUUUUCUUCAUCUCCAUUUUCUAAUCAACACAAAAGUCAAUUACCCUAAUUUAAAUCCAACUCUUGAUGGACAAGUAGAGUGUUAAUUGCGGCUGCUAUGCGACAAUAUAUACUCUCAGUGGAUUAGUUGCAGAAUUAUACAGAUUGAAUCAAGAGCAGCUAUGCUUUUAGUUAAUUUCCAGCAAUUAAAAAGUAAUUUUUUUUAUCAAAUUGAGACGACAAAUCUCUAUGAUAGAUGCACAAAAGAAGUGAUGUGGUCAGGUUGAAAAUUAGUAUGUCCAUCAUGUUAUUGGUUCAGCGAGUACUCGUUUAUGGGGCAACAAUAUUGGUUAAAGUAUCAACGACGUGAAUUGAGAGAAAAAAUAUAAUUAUCGUAAACAUGGUGAUUUUAACCCAAUCCAUUUUUUCAAUUUUAAUUUAAAACAAUUUAUAUAAUCAUCAUUUUCGUCUUAAUAGUUUUUAGGCUUAAUUGAACCUUAAGUACUCUAACUUAUUUUUUUGGCUUAAUAGGAAAAUGUUAACAUUAAAAACGUACUAAUAAGUAAUAAUUACCAUUAAAACGCCCUUAAAAAACUAGCAUUUCCGUUUCUUCUUAAAAAAAAAGCAUUAAAAACGUAUUAAGUGUGAUUCAAUUUAUACAGCUAGCAUUAAAUACGUAUUAAGUGUGAUUGCAGAAUAAAAAUUAUUAUAUUUUUUUAAAGAAGAAAUAUUGGCAUCGAAAAUUUAUUUAAAAACAGUAUCGAAAAUGGCUAAUUAGCUCGGAAAUUUGCGUUAAUAACGAUAUCGAAAACAUCUUACGUUUCAGAAAAAGAAAAAAAAAAUCAAAAACAUCACACAAAAAUUUACUUUAAUGCAAAAGUUUUUUUUAUAUAUUAUACACUUUUAAAUUUUUAAAAGGAAGUCUUUUUCUUGAAAAAAAGAUUUUAUAUUAAAUAAUGACAAGUUAAUUUGGAGAGUAAGAGAUUGACAUUUUUUUAGGCAUUAAUUGUAUGUGGUUGAAUCAUGGAAAAAAAAGAUAAAUAUUAUUCAUAUCUUUAAUAUAAGAUAAUUAUUAUCAUAUGUUUUAUUUAAAUAUAAUUUUUUAGACAAUAAUUAAAUAUAUUUUCUUAAUUAUAAACAUUUUUUAAAAUUGUAUAAGAUAAAUAAGUUUCCAUAAUAUUGUGUGCAACCUAUAAUAUUCUAAAAAAAAAUUAUGCAAAAUUUAAAACAAUUUAAGAUAUUGAGUAUAAAGUAUUUUAUUUUUAAUUUAAUUCAAAAAGAAGUGUUGAAUGGGAGGGAGGUCUGAGCUUUGAGAGGGAAGUAGGUGUGCUAAAUCAAAAUUGUAACCACCAUAUCAUCGAUCUUUUAAUGUCUAAAAUCGAAAUAUAUUAUAUAUAAUAUAUAUAAGCAUGUUAUAUCUACAUUUUUUUUUAUUAUGUAAUUUCAUUUUAUUUUUUUUAUUUUUUGGGUUUUUUUUUUCUCUCAUGAAGAUGAUGAAUAAGUUGAUGAAGAUAUGAUAUGAAGAAGAUGAAGGAAAGAUGAAGAUGUUGAUUUAAUAAAAAUCUGGAAGAGAGAGAAUAUAAAUAAAUAAAGAAAGAAAAAUAAAGAGGAGAUAAAAUUGGUACUAGAAGAAAAAUCAUGUGUAGAUGGUGUACCACAAUAACAUAGAGAUCAAGUAAAUCUAACCAUUAAAAUCAUGAAAUAAAGUUUUCCUUCACUUACGCUACCGUAGACCGCACUACACUGAAACAUGAUUAGGGUUUUUGACGUGUCAUCAUUUAAAAUCUGAUUGGCCCAUUCAAACGACUUCACCGAAGAAGUCAUUUUCCUGACUUCAUCAUAGAAGCUCCCUACAAACUUUUGGGAUAACUUACUUCUUUAAAUUUCAUCAUUCCAUUUAUUUAAACUAUUUUAUUUACAAUUGUACCUUUAUUUACCUAAGGUAAGAGAAAUAAUGAUUUUUUUUUUAGAACAACAGACAUGCAGAUGCAUUAUUGGUGAUUAAAUGAGACUUAAUUAGUGAUGAUUAUAUCCUGAAGUUUAUCUCAAUCAUAUAUAUAUCAUAAGAAAUAUAAACCAUAAUAUGCAAAUGAUCCUUGAUUAUUUUACAUACCAACUAUCAACGAAAUUAAAUCAUCUACAAGAGGAUAAAAAUGUAUAACAAAGUCCUCUUUAUUAUACAAACAAACCAUUAAACUUGAUCAUACAAAACAGGUAUAGUAAAAAAAUAGUAAAAAGUAAAAACUAUUUUUUUUGGUGAUAGGUUCUUUAGUUAUCAUUAUGCUGAAUUGGGUGCAACUCCGGGAUGCACCUUAUUCUUACCAAUAGUACUAGAAUUUGCUUGCACCUUUCUGUUUUGAUCAUCACCACUCACCUCUCCUCUUCUUACUUUUUCUUCUUCCAUUAUUUUCAUCUUUUCCUUCAUCCUCUUCUGCAUAACAAAAAUUUCAGCUGAACGUGCACCAAUGGAAGACAUGUUAUAGUUACUUGACUAAUAAUUAAUUAUAAUAAUUAGAAUGAAUUUAACUAAAUGCUCUUCCAAACUAGUGUUCCCAAAGAUGGAAUUUAUAGGAGUUGGGAUUGGAAGUAGAUACUGUAGUGAUCAGUAUGUGGAACAUGCAGCACGUUAAUUAAUGUUACUAUUUAAUGUUGAUAUGGUUUGUGGUUUUGCUUUACAACCAUGCAUGCAUUGGUGUUUAUUUAAUUAAUUGAGCAAAAAAAUAAAUAUAAUGUCUUGUUGCCAUAAUAUAUUAUGGAAAUUAAAAUUUGGUUUGUGCGUGCAGCAUCAUGUGUUCAAACCGUUAACUAAAU
rnacentral:lncRNA from 1 species